rnacentral:rRNA from 1 species
CCUACGGGGGGCAGCAGUCGAGAAUCAUUCACAAUGGGGGAAACCCUGAUGGGGCGACGCCGCGUGGGGGAAUGAAGGUCUGCGGAUUGUAAACCCCUGUCAUGGGGGAGCAAAUUAAAAAGAUAGUACAACAAGAGGAAGAGACGGCUAACGCUGUGCCAGCAGCCGCGGUAAUACAGAGGUCUCAAGCGUUGUUCGGAAUCACUGGGCGUAAAGAGUGCGUAGGCUGUUUCGUAAGUCGUGUGUGAAAGGCGCGGGCUCACCCCGCGGACGGCCCCUGAUACUGUGAGACUAGAGUACUGGAGGGGGAACCGCACUUCUCGGUGUAGCCGUGCACUGCGUAGAUAUC